GCCUUCGUGGUGUAGUGGUCAGCAAGCUGGGCGCGUAUUCCAGAGGUCCGUGGUUCGAAUCCCGGCGAAGGAG
rfam:Stegodyphus mimosarum contig26735, whole genome shotgun sequence.